GUAGAAAGGGGUACAAAGUCGGCAAUUUCAAUUUCGAGAAAAACGUGUUUAAAGUUUUGUUCAUUUAUUUCACUGACUUUAAUUGGUAUAAGUCACCAUUUCUUUGUUAGAUUUCUAAAUUUAACGUACAACAAUUGUUAAAAUUGCAUCCAUAAAAUAUACAUAUUCUCCGACAACGAUGUUACCGAUAGCGACGAGUAUAAUAACAACAAGGUUAUCUCCCUUAUGCAUAUACGUAAUUUCCGGUUAGUAAUUGACAAACAAGAAAUUUUCAAACAUUUACGUUUUUGUCUUCAUUUGCUGCUUUUCGAGGAUGCUUCUGUCGAGCUUUGACAGGACAGUUUCCAUGUUACCUGCCCGGCCCCCUCCAUUACAGUUGGGACAUUGCCUGCCAGUGUUCUUCCCCAAUCAUGCCCAACCGAUUGGUCCAAUAUUGUUCAAAACUUGAUGGAAAUGCGGUGUCAUCGUAGUUUGGAGUAUGUGCAGAGCACUCGGGACAACAAACUGUUGUGAGCAUGAUGAUCACUACUUCAAGUACCAUGGCUUGGAGAAGAAAAGCCGAAAUUGGCACUUUGUCUUAGCAGCAAACAUGCCUGGCUUUGUGCAGUGCAGGUUUGCUGCAUCGGUGAGGGUGUAGUUUACCUUGAUGAAAACCAGAGCAGUUGUGUACCCUGAACUCCUUUCCAAAAUCUGCAUCAAGGGGAUGGAUCUUGAAUGGCAGUGGUAUUAACAUGACAAGAUCAGAGAAUACAGCAGAUUUGACAUUGAUAAAGACAGUGCGCCCUAGACAGUCUCAACCAAAGCAUUGAACUGUACAACCUGUUAAUUAACUUUUUAGAGUUGUUUGUUUGGACUAGUGUUUGACAUUCAGAAAUAAGUAAUAACAUUAUUUCUCAGUACAAGAAAUCUGUAUGAAUUAGAAGCUGACAUUUACUGUUACUAUAUAAACAAACCUCUUAGAGGUUUAGCCAGGUUAAAGAAAGACAGGGAGCCACAGAAAAGCUACAGGUUUCCAUGUGUCAAUAGGACACCCUUCAUUUAGCUGUGAAGAAUUUUAACAUUUUGAAUGUUACAGAAAAUGUUAGGAAUAUUGUAUAAUGCUUAAUUGAAGUACUAUUAGGUUUCAAGUGCCAAAUAUUUAAAGCCUGUGUGUAUUUAUAAUCUUAUGAAUAUAAAGUUGUUAUCAAAACAAAAUCAAUAUUUGACUGUCUUAAGCUUUUAAUUCUAUGAAGGCAGGAGGUUGCCAAUCUUACUCUUCAUGACGGGUGCUUCCAAAAAAGAACAGGGGGCAGAAACCUUCCAUAACUCUUGCUAGAACCCUAAUAUUCUUUUUCAUCAAAUUACAGUAACAUUGACAAUUAACAAAUGAUGCAGUGAUAUUUUUUUAUGCUAAUAUCAUCAAUUUUUAUUGUCAUUAAGUUUUCUUCUAGAAUUGAUUUGUACAUGUAAUGUAUUGAAAAUUGAUACUUGUGGUUGCCAUGGUUACAACUUGUUUCUUAGUGUAGUAAUAUGUUUUAUACAUAUAAAUACAAUAUUGCAUUAUGUAAACUUAUAAUACUUUAAGAAAUAAUGAUUCAAACACAUGUACAGAGACAAUAAAUACACUACUUUGUAUUUUUGUUGCCAUGGCAAUGUUUCUGUGUAUAUUUGUUACAUUUAUUGUUUUUAAUUACAGGAUUGUCCAUUAGUGAAAUUAUAAUGUGUAUAAUAAGCAUAGCUACAAAAUGCAUAGAUACAUGAAAAUACCUAUUUAUGGAUGUACAUUUUCUUCAUAUUUCGAUGAUAGAAUAUGUUUUGUACACUGACCCCCCUUGGACUUAAAUCACCAUAGCAACAAAGUCUUAAACAUUUUGAAUAUUUUUUUUUUAAAUAUAUUUGUAAAGUGUUUGCCAAUGCUUAGGUUAUUUGAUUACUUUUUAAGAGCGGCGUGUGUGAUCCCUUUUACCUUUAAUAUUCAAUUGCAUCGUAUUGUGGUUGUCAUGGUAACAUUUUGAUUGCCAUUUAAAACUUCAAUCAUAAUUUUACAAGAAUUUUGUCACUAGUUCAAUAAUAUGUUAUUUUGUGUAAGAUAUAUGACUACAAAUUAUAUAAAGACAUUAAAAAAACAUGUGUUGUUUCAUUUCUUUAUCUAAAAAAUAUGCCACUUUUUGACACUUUCAUCCAUAAAUUGAUCGACUUCUGUGCUUCUUUAAAUCGUCAUAACAACAAAAGUACUUAAGAUUUUGACCUCAAAUUUUCGCCAAAUUGUUUCUAAUGAUGUACUCUAUUAAUAACUACCAAAAAGAGCAAAUGUCAUUUUUGCACCUUUGUACCCCUUUUUACAGGCAUUGACACAUAUUUAGAAUGAAUUUGAAAUAGAUUAAUUAUUGCAAAUAAGGAGGUAAACAUUGAUCAUACACUUGUUGAUAAGGUGUAGCAAAAGAAAUUGUUUGGUUCAGGUAACCCAACCAUACCUACUUAAAAACACCGACCCCAGUGUUUUUUCCAUUACUGACGUAGUUAUAUUAUUCAUUUGUGAAUAGAGAGUAAAACCCAAAUCAAUGCUUUCUGCCUAAACACGAAAGUGCCCAGCCAGUAUUGACGGAUCAAGAUGAUCUUCUUUAAGGCCUUAUUUGAUUGGCUGUUGAAAUACCUCUGUCAAAUCAAAAACGUGCUUUUAGAAUAGAACACCAUACCAUGAUGUUCGACAUUAUGUGAUUUAAACAUUAAAAACACCAAAUAAACUAUAUAUUUGACGUACCUACCCAACCUAGGUAUUUAAGGGAUAUUUCUAUAAACAAACAAUUGUUUUUGCUAGGCCUUACAAGAUGAUUACAAAAUGUCCAUUUUCCACUGUAUUAAUAUUAUUAGUAUUAAAUAUUUUGAAAAAGACAACUACAAUUUUUUUUGCAAUGUGUAUACAACAACAUCUAUU